AUGGCUGCGAGUUGCCGCGGAGAGUUGAAAGCACUUGGAUUUCACAUACUUUAACUGGAUGCGCGCCUCACUCGCAUAUGUACGAUCGUAUGGCGCGAGUGCAUGCCGGCGAGUGCGGCGACGGCGGCGACGGCGGCGCACACCUUCGAGUGUGAUGGAUGACAGCGCGCGUUGCAUACCGCGCCAAGCGGAUCCGUACGACGUAUUAAUUCGUCCGUGGAAUAGAACCGACACUUCUGAUUUCUUAGCGCGGUGACAUAUUGUCCGGUGAUUAUCGGCAAGGCGGAUGGAGGAGGAAAAGGCAGCAGGGGAAGGGCCUGAUAGAUGGGAGCGCGUCCCGUCGAUAUUUCUCCGCCACACGCUACUACUUUAUCAUCCCCCGGCACCGAUCGUCCAUCAUCCGCAAUCACUUCCUUGCGCAUUCACUCCCGGCGAGCAGUGCGGAUCAAUCCAAAUUUCGUCCCGCAGCUGUGGAGGAUCGUGCAGCCGCCUCUGCCACUACCGCCGCCGCCGCCGCCGCUGCCGCCACCAC